GUCCUAGCUUUGGCUGGACAUAUACUAAAAUUGGAACGACACAGAUAAGAUUAGCAUGGCCCCUGCGCAAGGAUGACACGCAAAAUCGUGAAGCGUUCCACAUUUUU
rnacentral:snRNA from 1 species